GAUGAACGCUGGCGGCGUGCCUAACACAUGCAAGUCGAGCGAACAGACGAGGAGCUUGCUCCUCUGACGUUAGCGGCGGACGGGUGAGUAACACGUGGAUAACCUACCUAUAAGACUGGGAUAACUUCGGGAAACCGGAGCUAAUACCGGAUAAUAUAUUGAACCGCAUGGUUCAAUAGUGAAAGACGGUUUUGCUGUCCCUUAUAGAUGGAUCCGCGCCGCAUUAGCUAGUUGGUAAGGUAACGGCUUACCAAGGCAACGAUGCGUAGCCGACCUGAGAGGGUGAUCGGCCACACUGGAACUGAGACACGGUCCAGACUCCUACGGGAGGCAGCAGUAGGGAAUCUUCCGCAAUGGGCGAAAGCCUGACGGAGCAACGCCGCGUGAGUGAUGAAGGUCUUCGGAUCGUAAAACUCUGUUAUUAGGGAAGAACAAAUGUGUAAGUAACUAUGCACGUCUUGACGGUACCUAAUCAGAAAGCCACGGCUAACUACGUG
rnacentral:rRNA from 1 species